UACAGAGGGGCAAGCGUUGUUCGGAAUUACUGGGCGUAAAGGGCGCGUAGGCGGGGAGGUAAGUCGGGUGUGAAAUCCCUCGGCCCAACUGAGGAACUGCGCCCGAGACUGCUUCUCUUGAGUCCCGGAGAGGAAGAUGGAAUUCCCGGUGUAGCGGUGAAAUGUGUAGAGAUCGGGAGGAACACCGGUGGCGAAGGCGGUCUUCUGGACGGUGACUGACGCUGAGGCGCGAAAGCGUGGGGAGCAAACGGG
rnacentral:rRNA from 1 species